AGGAUGCUCGUGGGGAAGUGUUUAUUUGGGAGGAACAGGAUAACUGAAUUAUCAAGCGCAUCAUGACAGCAGAGCCUUGAAGCAAAGCUAUGUUCGUCCCCUCAUUUUCGGCGACUACUGAGUAGGUCUAGAGCUCUAGUGCACCAUAUGUGCAGUGUAAAAUUGCUGACUUUAUAAUUUAAUCCAUAUAAAUAUUUAUGUACACGGUCACGUUCACCGGUUUCCAACAGGCCAGGGAUUGUUCAGAAAAGCGCUGAUAUGUGAAAAAUUAGGGAUGUGACCUCGACUGCAAUGAGAUUCCUCUUGAACGGUUUGCUUGAAGGGCAUUUUUGCCUUCUUAUACGCUACUCGGACCAAACUCCAUACAUGGGAACAAAUUUCCCCAAGCGGCGAAGCCCUGCCACACCCCUGUGUGGCGGCUGCAUACAUUUUCCUAGAAUCGGGUCAAAGUAAUCUACCUCUAUCCAGGUCUUUCCAACUGUUGAACAAAAUUUCCAGUGCGCGAAAGGAGCAACUAGCAACCUGGCCACAGUUCGAACUUUCACCGCUGCAGGUAAACAAAAUAUAUAUAUAUAUAUACGAUAUUACAAGCCAGGUAGGAUAUCAAUACAAA
rnacentral:sRNA from 1 species